rnacentral:lncRNA from 1 species
AUAGUCUAGUUUAGAUUUACCCUCCUUCUAACUCUUUUUUUCUCCCCACGGUCGUGGUUAUUGUAGGUCUGACUUAUGGUAGAAGAAAGGCAUUUGAGAAAUGAGAAGUUCAUCAGUGGUCAUUACCAUGCAACAUAUUGCAACGCGAAGGUCUAUUCUAUUAGUUUUGCAACUUGAUUAAAACUGAAAACGGAGAAACCAGAUGGUGACAGCCCGUCUCCAUUUACUCUUAUGUCUCCUCUCAGUGGUGAAUCAGCACAAAAGCACAGGAGUGUAAGUGGUAUCUACUCUAAAGGCAGGCAGGAAAUAUUUCCAAUGUGAAGGAGCAAGGAGGGAGAAAGGGGAGAUUUGUGGCUACCAGGACGAGCUACUUGUGCACAAUGAAGAAGAGAAGCUGAUUUCAGUCAGAACUUCAUUGAGAACUCUUGGACAGAUGAAGGUGAUUAACAUUAAUUUCUUCCUUCAUGCAGAUAUGGUUCUUCUCAUCAAAUCA